CACGUAGGGUGCGAGCGUUGUCCGGAAUUAUUGGGCGUAAAGGGCUCGUAGGCGGUGUGUCGCGUCGGCCGUGAAAACCUGCAGCUUAACUGUGGGCUUGCGGUCGAUACGGGCAUCACUGGAGUUCGGCAGGGGAGACUGGAAUUCCUGGUGUGGCGGUGAAAUGCGCAGAUAUCAGGAGGAACACCGGUGGCGAAGGCGGGUCUCUGGGCCGAUACUGACGCUGAGGAGCGAAAGCGUGGGGAGCGAACAGG
rnacentral:rRNA from 1 species